AGAGUUUGAUCCUGGCUCAGAACGAACGCUGGCGGCAGGCUUCAUACAUGCAAGUCGCGCGAUUAAAGCCCCUUCGGGGGUGUAUAAAGCGGCGAACGGGUGAGUAACAGGUGGAUAAUCUGCCUUUCGGUGGGGGGCAACGGCUGGAAACGGCCGCUAAUACCGCAUGUGGUUGCCGAAACAUAAGUUCCGGCAAAGAAAGGGGCUUCACGGCCCCGCCGAAAGAUGAGUCCGCCCCCCAUUAGCUAGUUGGUGUGAUAAUAGCGCACCAAGGCUUCGAUGGGUAGCCGAGCUGAGAGGUUGAUCGGCCACACUGGGACUGAGAUACGGCCCAGACACCUACGGGUGGCAGCAGUAGGGAAUAUUGGACAAUGGGCGAAAGCCUGAUCCAGCCAUGCCGCGUGAGUGAUGAAGGCCUUCGGGUCGUAAAACUCUUUUCUGAGGGAAGAACAUCCGGGGUAGGAAAUGAUCCCGGCUNGACGG
rnacentral:rRNA from 1 species